rnacentral:rRNA from 1 species
UACGAAGGGGGCUAGCGUUGUUCGGAAUUACUGGGCGUAAAGCGCGUGUAGGCGGGUCUUUAAGUCAGGGGGUGAAAUGCCAGGGCUCAACCUUGGAACUGCCUUUGAUACUGGAGACCUUGAGUCCGGGAGAGGUGAGUGGAAUUGCGAGUGUAGAGGUGAAAUUCGUAGAUAUUCGCAAGAACACCAGUGGCGAAGGCGGCUCACUGGCCCGGAACUGACGCUGAGACGCGAAAGCGUGGGGAGCAAACAGG